CACACGCGCCCAGUCACACCAUGGGAGUUGGUCUUACCCGACGGCGCUGCGCCAACCGCAAGGAGGCAGGCGACCACGGUAGGGUCAGCGACUGGGGUGAAGUCGUAACAAGGUAGCCGUAGGGGAACCUGCGGCUGGAUCACCUCCUUUCUAAGGAUGUUCCCUCAAGGUUGGCAUUCGCCGGCUUUAUCGGAACUCUUGGAACAACAGAGGCCAGUCAGGCCUCACGAUGCGGGACGCUGCCGUCUUCGUUUCUCUUUCUUCUCCGGAUACAUCGAUCAGGGGUCAGGUGAGUGUGCGAGCACUUGCGUGGCUUGGGAUGCGGUUCGGGCCUGUAGCUCAGGUGGUUAGAGCGCACCCCUGAUAAGGGUGAGGUCGGACGUUCGAGUCGUCCCAGGCCCACCAUUAUCGGGUUGCCCUUUGGGCAUGGGGCCUUAGCUCAGCUGGGAGAGCGGUAGCUUUGCAAGCUUCAGGUCGUCGGUUCGAUCCCGACAGGCUCCACCAUUUCCUUGAUCGUUCCGGAUGUCAUUGAGGUUCGCGCCUCCCCUCUCGUGUGUGGGAUGCGCGGAUGUUUGAAAUCGUAAAGAGGCGGCAUAUUCGGCCAGCGGGACAACCUAGUUCCCGCGCACCAGCCACGGCCCGCAGCCGUGCGCGCCGGAUAUGCCUGGCAAGCAAAAACAUGUCUUUGAUCUUGACGAUCGAAGACAGGUCUUUCUUUGGGUCGAUGGCCGCUGCCGAGCGGACAUCGAUCAUGAGAGUAAUCAAGUGUCGUAAGAGCAUCUGGUGGAUGCCUUGGCGCUGAGAGGCGAUGAAGGACGUGGUACGCUGCGAUAAGUCGUGGGGAGCUGCGAAGAAGCCUAUAG
rnacentral:misc_RNA from 1 species